rnacentral:rRNA from 1 species
UUUAUCGGAGAGUUUGAUCCUGGCUCAGGACGAACGCUGGCGGCGUGCCUAAUACAUGCAAGUCGAGCGGACAGAUGGGAGCUUGCUCCCUGAUGUUAGCGGCGGACGGGUGAGUAACACGUGGGUAACCUGCCUGUAAGACUGGGAUAACUCCGGGAAACCGGGGCUAAUACCGGAUGGUUGUCUGAACCGCAUGGUUCAGAC